rfam:Felis catus isolate Cinnamon breed Abyssinian chromosome A1, whole genome shotgun sequence.
GCCUAGGUGGUUCAGUCGGUUGAGUGUCUGACUUCGGCUCAGGUCAUGAUCUCAUGGCUUGUGGGUUCAAGCCCUACAUUGGGCU